CCUGAUCUCUGGACCCUCUAGAGAUAGAGUUCCCCUUCGGGGGACAGAGUGACAGGUGGUGCAUGGUUGUCGUCAGCUCGUGUCGUGAGAUGUUGGGUUAAGUCCCGCAACGAGCGCAACCCUUAAGCUUAGUUGCCAUCAUUAAGUUGGGCACUCUAAGUUGACUGCCGGUGACAAACCGGAGGAAGGUGGGGAUGACGUCAAAUCAUCAUGCCCCUUAUGAUUUGGGCUACACACGUGCUACAAUGGACAAUACAAAGGGUAGCGAAACCGCGAGGUCAAGCAAAUCCCAUAAAGUUGUUCUCAGUUCGGAUUGUAGUCUGCAACUCGACUAUAUGAAGAUGGAAUCGCUAUAAUCGUAGAUCAGCAUGCUACGGUAAAUACGUUCCCGGGCCUUGUACACACGG
rnacentral:rRNA from 1 species